rnacentral:lncRNA from 1 species
GGUGCCUAGGGUUUUGGAUCAUUUGUAUUAGGGGUUCAAACCUUUAGUCAAUUCUUUGAUUGAAAUUAGUGGGGUGCCACUUGAUUUGAUUAGGUAUGGGUGCACCCACUUGGUUGGUGGCACGAUGGACAAGGAGGGGCUCACCCUCUUCCUUAUGAGGCAUGUAAGAGAGAUCCCUAGAGGGGCCAUGGAUUGGCGCCCCCUUAGAUCUUCUAGGUAUGGUCAAAGAUAGAGGCAUACAAGGAGUCCUAAUGCGAUUAGGACUCAUAUUAUGGGGC